AANGGCAGCNNACUCGCGAUNCUAGCAAAUCCCAUAAACCGUGGCUCAGUUCAGAUCGUAGGCUGCAACUCGCCUACGUGAAGUAGGAAUCGCUAGUAAUCCGCAGGUCAGCAUACUGCGGUGAAUACGUUCCCGGGCCUUGUACACACCGCCCGUCACACCAUGGAAGUUGGCCAUGCCCGAAGUCGUUACUCCAACCCUUGUGGAGGAGGACGCCGAAGGUGGGGCUAAUGACUGGGGUGAAGUCGUAACAAGGUAGCCGUACCGGAAGGUGCGGCUGGAUCACCUCCUAACAGGGAGACAACAAAAUGUUUAAUAUUAUUAUUUUGUCACCUUAGGUCGAUCGGUAUCUCACGUUUUUAAUUUAUUAAGAAUUUCAUUUCCUAAGUUUUUCUAGGUCACACCCAUUAUUUUUCCUGGGCCAUUAGCUCAGGUGGUUAGAGCGCACCCCUGAUAAGGGUGAGGUCCCUGGUUCAAGUCCAGGAUGGCCCAUAUCUCUAUGUUGGGGGUAUAGCUCAGUUGGUAGAGCGCCUGCUUUGCAAGCAGGAUGUCAGCGGUUCGAGUCCGCUUACCUCCACUGAUCACCACCUCUUCCAUAAUCGGUAGAAAGGAAAUUUUUUGAGUUGUGAUCAAAUUCUGAAAGAAUCUAGCUUCCUAAUGAAAUCAUUAAGAUGCUGGACUCAUUGAAUUAAUUUCAUUGUUUUCAGAGAACCUUGACAACUGCAUAGAUUAUUUUUAAAGACAAUAAGCAUCUUUAGUGAUGCAGAUUUAUUAUUUGUGCAAAUGCAUUAAUAACAAUUCUAUUAAGCUGAUGCUUCAAUAUUUGAAGUCAUUGGUCAAGCUACAAAGGGCUCACGGAGGAUACCUAGGCACACAGAGGCGAUGAAGGACGUGGUUACCUGCGAUAAGUCUCGGGGAGUUGGAAGCACACUUUGAUCCGGGAAUUUCCGAAUGGGGCAACCCCAUGUACGGCCAACUGAAUAUAUAGGUUGGUGCGAGCUAACCCAGCGAACUGAAACAUCUUA
rnacentral:misc_RNA from 1 species